rnacentral:pre_miRNA from 9 species
UCUCGAUAGCGUAAAAGUUAACUUAAAUUUUUGUAUGCAGUUGGAACGUUUGGCUAGGUUUGCCGCUAGGGGCGCUGUUUCAACUACAUACAAAUUUGAGUUAACUUUUACGCUAUCGA